UGGGGAAUAUUGCACAAUGGGCGCAAGCCUGAUGCAGCCAUGCCGCGUGUAUGAAGAAGGCCUUCGGGUUGUAAAGUACUUUCAGCGGGAAGGAAGGGAGUAAAGUUAAUACCUUUGCUCAUUGACGUUACCCGCAGAAGAAGCACCGGCUAACUCCGUGCCAGCAGCCGCGGUAAUACGGAGGGUGCAAGCGUUAAUCGGAAUUACUGGGCGUAAAGCGCACGCAGGCGGUUUGUUAAGUCAGAUGUGAAAUCCCCGGGCUCAACCUGGGAACUGCAUCUGAUACUGGCAAGCUUGAGUCUCGUAGAGGGGGGUAGAAUUCCAGGUGUAGCGGUGAAAUGCGUAGAGAUCUGGAGGAAUACCGGUGGCGAAGGCGGCCCCCUGGACGAAGACUGACGCUCAGGUGCGAAAGCGUGGGGAGCAAACAGG
rnacentral:rRNA from 1 species